rnacentral:rRNA from 1 species
GUGGAUUUUUAGCCCUGGUGGGUAGCUUCCCGGAAACGAAAGUCUUCCGGUUCCGGGGGAAGUAUGGUUGCAAAGCUGAAACUUAAAGGAAUUGACGGAAGGGCACCACCAGGAGUGGAGCCUGCGGCUUAAUUUGACUCAACACGGGGAAACUCACCCGGCCCGGACACCGUAAGGAUUGACAGAUUGAUAGCUCUUUCAUGAUUCGGUGGUUGGUGGUGCAUGGCCGUUCUUAGUUCGUGGAUCGAUUUGUCUGGUUUAUUCCGAUAACGAGCGAGACUCUAGCCUACUAAAUAGUAACGAGAUUAUCAAUGUCUCAGUUGCUUCUUAGAGGGAUUUUCGGUGUUUAGCCGCACGAGAUUGAGCAAUAACAGGUCUGUGAUGCCCUUAGAUGUCCGGGGCUGCACGCGCGCUACACUGGCGAAAUCAGCGUGCUGUAUCCAUUCUCGAAAGGGAUUGGUAAACCCAUGAAAAUUUGCCGUGCUUGGGAUCGGAAAUUGCAAUUAUUUUCCGUGAACGAGGAAUUCCAAGUAAGUGCGAGUCAUCAACUCGCUCUGAUUACGUCC